AAAUGCAAAUAGGAAGUGUAAAUAAUGUUGCCUGGCGUCAGCUGUGCGCUACAACUUGAGCCCCUUUGCAGUUUAGCAAAUUAAAAGCAUACCGAAUUAAUUGUUAGCUGUUCCUGUUAACAGUGCAUCCAUGGAUGCACACACAACUAUCACUGGAUUACUUUAAUACUGAGGUAAACUUAAAAACGUGGUGAUUUUUAGAAAAGUUCUGGAGUCAUCGUUACGAGGAUUUCUAGGAUUUCUAAGUGGAUUUAUGGACGUUUGUUCACGAUGGCGAUCGGAGAAAACGACAUCCUCGGAAAGGGGAGCAGAGACUACAGCACUCAAGUGAGACCCCUGACCUCAGACAUGAUUGGAAACACUGGACAACACAUCGCUGGACACAUCACUGAUUUGACCUUGCUUUGACACUACCCCUGCAUUCAAAAAUCUCCCUGAGACGGGCUUGAGUUACUCAAGCUGUUAGGUGCCCUCUCAGGUUCUGACACAGUGGGGAAGGAUGUUGGAGCUGACAAGGAUAAAAUGUCAAGCAAAUACCACGACUGUCACACCUUCUCCUGUUUGAGGCACAACAACCUCAAUGACUCCCUUAAGAUCUGGUGGUCUCAUUACCAGUCUCCUAUGUGGAAGGAUAAGACAAUUGCUCCUGCUGGUCAGAGUUAUCUGAUUUUAAGUUUUGAUACUUUUUACUGUUACAAUAAAGUACUGGGAGGAAUAAAAUCUCCCCCACAAAAACACAUAAAAACACUCAACUUACUUAACAACAUUGUCAGGGUAUUCUUAUAUAAUGCAAACCGAUGCAGUAGUAGUUUCAUAAAGUGCCAGCAACGUUUUCAAUUAUAAA